rnacentral:rRNA from 1 species
UACGAAGGGAGCUAGCGUUGUUCGGAAUCACUGGGCGUAAAGCGCACGUAGGCGGAUGUGUCAGUCAGGGGUGAAAUCCCGGAGCUCAACUUCGGAACUGCCCUUGAUACAGCACGUCUUGAGUCCGGAAGAGGUGGGUGGAAUUCCUAGUGUAGAGGUGAAAUUCGUAGAUAUUCGGAAGAACACCAGUGGCGAAGGCGACUUACUGGACACAUAUUGACGCUGAGGUGCGAAAGCGUGGGGAGCAAACAGG